UUGAAACUUUCUCUAUUUCAUUUAUUAUUUAUUAUUUCUCCUUUUCACCUUCGAUUCUCAAUAGGGAAUCGAAUCUAGGAGGGUGCUCCUUUCCUGUUAAGGAGAAUGAUUUACCUCAACAAGUAUAAAACCUAUUUGUUUUUAAAGGUGUCUCUAUUCUUCAUAGGAGAGAGCCAGCUUCUGGAGAGGUGCAAAAAUGCAAGAUGAACAGCGAAAGCUCGCCCUCGCUGCAGAUGCUUUAUCGGGGAUAAGUGGACUUCAAAUUACUGGUGGUGCAUUCCCAGGAUGGGUGAUUAAAGCAUGUGGAUUCUCCAUUCCCAGGAUGGGUGAUUAAAGCAUGUGGAUUCUCCAUAGAGCCUUAGUGUAAUUUUGUACAAAAAAUAUGAAAUAUUUGUGUCUUGUUUUCUAUCUUUGUUAUUACUAGUAUAGGCUGGUUGAUUGAGUUCUAAGUGGAUUUUUCUCCUUGUUAUUGCUAAUUCAAAUGGUUUUUUGUCGA